AUUGAACGCUGGCGGCAUGCCUUACACAUGCAAGUCGAACGGUAACAGGUCUUCGGAUGCUGACGAGUGGCGAACGGGUGAGUAAUACAUCGGAACGUGCCCGAGAGUGGGGGAUAACGAAGCGAAAGCUUUGCUAAUACCGCAUACGAUCUCAGGAUGAAAGCAGGGGACCGCAAGGCCUUGCGCUCACGGAGCGGCCGAUGGCAGAUUAGGUAGUUGGUGGGAUAAAAGCUUACCAAGCCGACGAUCUGUAGCUGGUCUGAGAGGACGACCAGCCACACUGGGACUGAGACACGGCCCAGACUCCUACGGGAGGCAGCAGUGGGGAAUUUUGGACAAUGGGCGAAAGCCUGAUCCAGCCAUGCCGCGUGCAGGAUGAAGGCCUUCGGGUUGUAAACUGCUUUUGUACGGAACGAAAAGGCUCUGGUUAAUACCUGGAGUCCAUGACGGUACCGUAAGAAUAAGCACCGGCUAGCUACGUGCCAGCCGCCGCCGUAAAAC
rnacentral:rRNA from 1 species